rnacentral:rRNA from 1 species
CAGUAGCCGCGGGAACACGAAGGGGGCUAGCGUUGUUCGGAAUUACUGGGCGUAAAGCGCACGUAGGCGGAUAUUUAAGUCAGGGGUGAAAUCCCAGAGCUCAACUCUGGAACUGCCUUUGAUACUGGGUAUCUUGAGUAUGGAAGAGGUGAGUGGAAUUCCGAGUGUAGAGGUGAAAUUCGUAGAUAUUCGGAGGAACACCAGUGGCGAAGGCGGCUCACUGGUCCAUUACUGACGCUGAGGUGCGAAAGCGUGGGGAGCAAACAGGAUUAGAUACCCCGGUAGUCCCUGUCUCUUAUAC